rnacentral:hammerhead_ribozyme from 1 species
GCACUUCUGACGAGCCCCAAACAGGACGAAACAGCUGUUCAGUGC